AGCUGCGGCAGCGACACUAUGUGUUGUUGGGUAGGGGAGCGUUCUGUAAGCCUGUGAAGGUGUGCUGUGAGGCAUGCUGGAGGUAUCAGAAGUGCGAAUGCUGACAUAAGUAACGAUAAAGCGGGUGAAAAGCCCGCUCGCCGGAAGACCAAGGGUUCCUGUCCAACGUUAAUCGGGGCAGGGUGAGUCGACCCCUAAGGCGAGGCCGAAAGGCGUAGUCGAUGGGAAACAGGUUAAUAUUCCUGUACUUGGUGUUACUGCGAAGGGGGGACGGAGAAGGCUAUGUUGGCCGGGCGACGGUUGUCCCGGUUUAAGCGUGUAGGCUGGUUUUCCAGGCAAAUCCGGAAAAUCAAGGCUGAGGCGUGAUGACGAGGCACUACGGUGCUGAAGCAACAAAUGCCCUGCUUCCAGGAAAAGCCUCUAAGCAUCAGGUAACAUCAAAUCGUACCCCAAACCGACACAGGUGGUCAGGUAGAGAAUACCAAGGCGCUUGAGAGAACUCGGGUGAAGGAACUAGGCAAAAUGGUGCCGUAACUUCGGGAGAAGGCACGCUGAUAUGUAGGUGAAGUCCCUCGCGGAUGGAGCUGAAAUCAGUCGAAGAUACCAGCUGGCUGCAACUGUUUAUUAAAAACACAGCACUGUGCAAACACGAAAGUGGACGUAUACGGUGUGACGCCUGCCCGGUGCCGGAAGGUUAAUUGAUGGGGUCAGCGCAAGCGAAGCUCUUGAUCGAAGCCCCGGUAAACGGCGGCCGUAACUAUAACGGUCCUAAGGUAGCGAAAUUCCUUGUCGGGUAAGUUCCGACCUGCACGAAUGGCGUAAUGAUGGCCAGGCUGUCUCCACCCGAGACUCAGUGAAAUUGAACUCGCUGUGAAGAUGCAGUGUACCCGCGGCAAGACGGAAAGACCCCGUGAACCUUUACUAUAGCUUGACACUGAACAUUGAGCCUUGAUGUGUAGGAUAGGUGGGAGGCUUUGAAGUGUGGACGCCAGUCUGCAUGGAGCCGACCUUGAAAUACCACCCUUUAAUGUUUGAUGUUCUAACGUUGACCCGU
rnacentral:rRNA from 1 species